CAGGUCAUAAGAUGCUGUGGAGUGCGUGUGUUUUUCGAGAUGGAGAAAUGGAAAUGGCCACCAGGCUGGAAGGAGAGCGUCUCUUCCUGUUUGUACUUCUUUCCAUGUAGUAACAUAAUCCAACCAUGUAUCGACUGGAAGGUGAAACACAGCAGCUGGAGCAGCACCGCGUGCUUAUUGUUUACACCCUCCUCGGGCCAACAGUGGGAGGAAGAAGCAAUGAGAAACCACAGUGUGAGAGGGGAAUUGACUGGUCCAGUGUGGGAGCAGAAAAAGGGAAAA